AAGGAGCGAAAACUUUAAUAUCUAAGCACUAAGGCUUAAAAGUGACUAAACUAAAAAGCUAAAACUUAAAGAACAUGGCGGCGGAAAUAAAAUUUAGGGGAACUUACCAGGUAAUUGACAACCCUCAAAAAAAAUCACCUUUAUUCAAAGUUUGUAUACCGCCGUCUUGGGCCCUCUUGAGGAGGGCCCAAAAUUAUGUAAUAAAUAAGACAGGUCAUGGUGCAGCCUAUAUAAAGGACUGUAAGGUGAGUUACAAUAGUAGUUUACUUCGGAAUGAAAAUGUAAGAAUAAAAGGAAGAUGGACUUAACAGUAAUUACUAAAGAAGUAUGUUUUGAAACACAAAGAUUUUCGUGC
rnacentral:rRNA from 1 species